rnacentral:lncRNA from 1 species
ACUCCUUACUCUGGGAAUAAGGAUGCCACCAUCCUCUCUUUCAUAGUAAUUACCUAAAGGCCUGAUGGAGACUGGGAUCAUCUUUCUAAACUCACUCUCCUUUCAUUGUGCAGAUUCCUCUUCCAAAGAACAUCUCUGCUAAAUAUAAAACAAUAUCAAUCUCUUACAGAUGUUGCACCAAAAGAUAUUUCAAGAGAAUGAAGAAAACAAAUUAGCCUUGGCUAGGGAUGAACCUCCCUUCUCUCACAACCACUUGGUGCUCCUCAGCUUGGGGUCUUUUCACCCAAUUGCUCUCAAAAAAGGCCACAUGAAGUGAGGUGUCAGAGGGCUUCCUGCUGAGGUCCAGCUGGGCUACUGGAAUGGUUAAUGAUUAAAAAAAAUUAAUGUCUCCAAAACUUGAAAAGUUUUGGAAGACAGUAUGUAACACUAUCAAAGAAAACCAAGCAGAGCUACUGGAAUCACCAAGCAAGCUUGAGCAGAGAGGAGUUAUUUGCCCCUAAAACUCCAUCAAAGUUCCCAUUGGGCACUUUGCAUUAAAAGAAAAUACGGAGCUUCAGAAUCCCAGGAUUAUUAGGUUUGGAAAAAUGACCAGGAUCAUGAAGUCCAAGCUCUGCCUGAUGCCAACCUUGUCACCAGCCCAGACCAGUGAGUGCCACAUCCGUGCCUUCCUUGGACACCUCCAGGGUGGGGAUUCUAAGCCUCCCUGGGCAUGCCCUUUCAAUGCCUGACCACCCUUUUCAGGAAGAAAUUCCUCCUGAUGCCCAACCUGAGCCUCCCCUGGCACAACUUGAGGCCAUUCUCUCUCAUCCUAUUCCUUGUUCUCUGGGACCAGAGCCUGACCUGCCCAUGUCCACACUCCUGUCUGGUUCUAUAUCUGGAAAUUCAGGAGAUUAUUUAUUGAUUGAUGUUGAAUUGAGACUGUCCUUACAAACUGAACUCAGAGAAGCUUCACUACAUCCCCACUCCUGCAGUUCCCAGAGCCCCUGAUGAGAUGCAAACAUUGGGAAUUAGCAUCCCAGCUGCCUGUGCUUUCUGCAGAAUAAUAUUUCUCUGGAAUCACAAAAUCUGGGAGCUGUGAAGUCAUAUUGCUCCUUCUGCUGGCAAUGCUGCCAGGAAGCUGCAAGGUUUGGGAGUGGAAUUCACCAGGAAUUCACUGCAAGGAACUUACACAUAAUUCUCUAUAUGAAAACACCUAUUCCCUAAGACUUCCACAGCAAUCUGAGCAAGAAGAGCCCAGCCAUUCUGGAAAAAAGGGAGAAAAACAAAUGUUUGGGACAUCUGAACAAAAGUGAGAAGUCUGUAACCAGCUUUCAGAACUGAAGAUCAAUUUUCAUACUCUUAGGAAAUGGGAAAAUGGGACCUGGAGUAUUCUGUACCUGGGAAGAACUGCACACACAUUCCUGGGUCUUGCCAGCCUCCCGCAUCCACUUUGCCUGGCUGCUCACAGCUUACCUCCAAAAGCACACUAAUUUUGGCAUGAUUUACAAAAAGCCUGGAUAAACAAAACCUUGCCAAUGAAUCUUCUACUCCUGGACUUCUUGGGUUGUUCCCAGGACCCACAAAAGUCAACAGAAUUAAAGCUUCCCCCUGAAGUCACUGGAGCUUUAGAUCUUUCUGCUGUGGCUAAUUAAUCUUGUUCAUUAGUUACUCCCUAGCUCCCCUUCCCUUUUCCUCAUCACUUCGUGCUGGUGCAAAUUAUUCUUGUCUUUUAAACAUUAAUUGUUGCUGUGCAGGCCUUUUCUGGAAUGCAUUAAAUUAAAUCCCUCCAGAUAUCCACCUUCCUUCUUUUGCCAGUGCCUUGGAGGCUGGGGAGCUGGGAUGUGGCAGGUGCAAUACAGGCCAAUUAAAAAGCAAAUUUGUGCUAACUGAUGGGUAAUCUGCACUGGGAACCACAAGUGACAUUAGGGGAUGCCUGGGGAAAAUUUUCAUUAAGCAAAUUCCUCCACUGCUGGCACAGCUCUGACACCUCCACAUGUUGUGGCUGUUGCAAGGUGAGUUUCCAACACUUUCACCCUUGGAAUUUUUUCCUGCUCUCACUGAAUCUUGUACAAACCACUGACCAAGGGACAAAGAAUGUCAGAGGUGAAGUGAGUUAAACCAGCCAUUAGUCUGCUUUUUAUUUACCAAAUUUUUGUAGCUAUAAGAAGAUAAAAAAAAAAAAAGCCAAAAACCCCAAUCCAAAGCAACAACAACAACAAAAAACCUCACACAAAAAAACCCCAACGUCAAGCCCACAACUCUUUUAAAUUUCUACUUAUUUAAUAGAUGUUGUUUUAUGCAUUUUGUACAAUGCUUAAAUAUGUGUGUAUAGAUUUACAUAUCAGAAUAAAAUUCAUAUUCACUAAAUGGCA